GCAUCGAUGAAGAACGUAGCGAAAUGCGAUACUUGGUGUGAAUUGCAGAAUCUCGUGAACCAUCGAGUCUUUGAACGCAAGUUGCGCCCGAAGCCAUUAGGUUGAGGGCACGCCUGCCUGGGCGUCAC
rnacentral:rRNA from 1 species